AGAGCUUGAAAUUCCUGGGCUCCUCUAGCAGUGUCAGGUUCAGGGCUCAGCCAACUGAUCCCCUCUUGACUGCAACUCACUGAGUAAGGGAAAGGUGAUGUAUCCUCCCCUCCUGUAGCCACCAGCAGCUCCAGACCCACAGGACCUGGUUUUAGCAGCUCCAGCUUGCUCCCUUCUUUCCUGCCACUCCCUCCCAGAGAGAAAUAGAGAGAAGGAAAAAGGAAAGGGAGUCAGAAAGAUCCUGGGAUUUGAAUCUUUCCAAGGAGGAAACAUGCAGCAAAAUCAGUUGAUUAAAUACCAAACUGACAGAUUCCCACCUCUUCAGUUCAACCAAAAGGGUCUACCAUGGAGAGAUAUGAAGAAGUCCUUCCCUUACAAAGCCACAGAUGACAAAAGGAUUUUCUGUGCUCCCUAAAACCUCUGCCAGCAACUCUGCAUCCAACAAGUUAAGGAAAAUCCUCUCUGCUAGCACAGGCCAGUGCCCACCCUGUUCUGACCCUGCUCAGGCUAGAAGCUGUCCACAACCUGGAGGCCCCCUUCUCCAAUCUCUGCACUUCAGGACUCAGAGAAGGGCAUGGACCUUACCUUCCUCCUCGAGAAUCUGCUCCUGCUCUGCCUCUCCAAGCUUUAGGGUGAGAAGCUUGGCUCUGCGGCCAUGCUCAGCUUUCAGCUUCUCCUGAUGGCCCAGGGCAUCUCUGCUACUCUUCUCCAUCACUUCCUGGUCCUCUUCUAAGUUCAGUGAUUUGCUGCUUGAUUUG
rnacentral:sRNA from 1 species